rnacentral:tRNA from 1 species
GGAUAUAGCUCGGUGGUAGAGCACGUGCUUAACAUGCACAAGGUUCUGGGUUCGAUUCCCCGUACCUCCA